rnacentral:rRNA from 1 species
GUGUCAGCCGCCGCGGUAAUACGGAGGGGGCUAGCGUUGUUCGGAAUUACUGGGCGUAAAGCGCACGUAGGCGGCUUUGUAAGUUAGAGGUGAAAGCCCGGGGCUCAACCCCGGAAUAGCCUUUAAGACUGCAUCGCUUGAACACGGGAGAGGUGAGUGGAAUUCCGAGUGUAGAGGUGAAAUUCGUAGAUAUUCGGAAGAACACCAGUGGCGAAGGCGGCUCACUGGACCGUUGUUGACGCUGAGGUGCGAAAGCGUGGGGAGCAAACAGGAUUAGAUACCCGUGUAGUCC